rnacentral:ncRNA from 10 species
AUCGUUCAACUCUUAUUUGAGUCGGAAGUAGACAGUUUGUCGAAGGAACGCAUG